CAAUAAAAUUAUUUUCAAACCAGGUUUUUUCCGACAAGCACUAGGUUUUUUCAUCCAGCUGUCGCAAUCAGACAGAACAAGUUUACCAUUCGGCCUUUAUAGGAUGCUGAAGGCAACCAACUCACUUCAUUUGCCCAACUGUCUGUUGAGGUUGUGGUUUAAUUCAAGGGCUUGUUGGGUGAGGUUGAUCCUUUUGUUUCCUAUCCUAAUCAACUUUUUUCUGAGCUUCUGCAGCAACCUUUGCCUGAUCAUGCGCAAUAGGAACUUGUCAAACCUAUUAUUGAUAAAGAAAUUAAAACAACUUUUUUUCAGUCAGGGGAAUGACUAAUCCUCUGGCUCUGAUGGCUUUACAACUAAGUUUAGGUCUUCCUAGAGUAUUGUUGGGCUAGAUGUUCUUGUAGUAGUUCGUUAUUUUUUUCUCAACUUUAAGAUGCUCCCUGCUCUUAAUACCACUGCUAUUGCCCUUGUUCCCAAAUGUGUUCAACCUACUCAUUUUAAGCAAUUUAUGCCAAUUUCGUGCUGUAAUACAAUUUAAAAAGGUAUAUCUAAGAUCCUGGCUAAUUGACUUUAUUUUUUUCUUAAAAUUAUCUCUCUGAGCCAGUCUGCCAUUUUACAAGAGGUAGAAGUAUAGUUGACAACACCCUUUUGGCUCAUGAGCUAAUGAGGGGUUAUGGUAGAAAGAACAUAAUACCUCAUUGUGCCCUCAAGAUUGACUUGCAAAAGGCAUUUGAUUCAGUCAAUUAGUGCUUUCUUCUCUCGGUUUUGAAGGUUUUGAAAUUCCCAGAAACUUUUUAAGAAUUGGAUUGAGGUAUGCAUCACUUCACUUCACUUUUUUAUUUCACUCAAUGGCAGUUUGGUGGGCUACUUUAAAGGGGCAAAAGGAUUGCAGCAAGGAGAUCCUCUUUCCCAUUUCCUUUUUGUUAUUGCAAUAGGAAUGUUGUCUAGGCUAUUGGAGAUUGCUGCUCGCCAUGGUAUCUUAAAGUUUCAACCUAAAUGUAGCAGAGUUAAACUUACUCAUUUUUUUUUUUGCAAAUGAUCUUCUAAUAUUUGUGAAAGGAUGUGUGGACUCUGUUGUGAGGGUAAGGUGCCUUUUGGAUGAAUCCUACUCCAUUUCUGGUCUUCAGCUUAAUGCCUCCAAGAGUGAUUUUUUUUUUUUUUUUGCAAGGGUAUCCAAUGAGGAAGUGUCUCACAUUUUUGAAUAUUACUGGUUUUAAGUCUGAAACUCUCCCUAUUCGUUAUCUUGGAGUUUCUUUGGUUUCUAGAGGGCUCUCUUGUGCUGAUUGUAAGCCGUUUGUAGAGAAGAUUAAGGCUAAAAUUCUUCAAUGGUCUACUAUGCAUCUCAGUUAUGCUAACAGACUUCAAUUGAUAAAGGCAGUAUUGUUCAGUGUGUAGGCCAAUUGGAGUAGGCAAUUCUUAUUGCCAAAGGUUAUUCUUCAACAAGUGGACCAAUUGUGCUCUAGGUUCUUAUGGAAAGGUAGUAGCUCUUCUGCUUCUGGUGCUAAAGUCAAAUGGGAUAUCUUAUGUUUGCUAAAGUCUGAGGGAAGGCUUGGCUUGAAGAAACUUGUUGGAUGGGUUGCUUUUGAGCCUUGCUUACUUCUGAAGGCUCCUUAUGGGUUGUUUGGGUCCAAAAAUAUGUUUUAAAAUGUGGUUCCUAUUGGUCUGUUACUGCCAACUCAACUAGCAGCUGGAAUUGGAGAAGAUUUUUUAAGCUUAAGGAUGUUGUAGUUAGUUCUUCCAGAAGCUUUCCGAUUGGGACAGCAGUGUGGACUCAUAAGCUUUGGGAGGACCUUUAGGUUAAAGCUGCAAAGGUCUCUUAGUAUAAACUCCUUUGGUUCCUUCUCCAUGUGUUUAAACACUCUACAAUUGCUUGGAUGACAAUCUUAAACACACUUUCCACUCGUGACAGAUUGUUUAGUCAUGCAUCAAGAGGUCUAUUGGUACGUGGCUUCAAGAAUUUAACUGGGCAACUUCUUGUUUGAAAAGUAAGUCGUUCCUUCUCUGCCUGCUCAAGCUGGUAUGGAAAGCAGUUGUGUACUUUUUUUGGUGUGAAAGGAAUAGUAGGCUAUUUGGGAAUUCUUCUAAUUCUGUUGAAGUUUUGUUAGAGAAAGUUAAAGAUGUUGUGCUGUUUCGUCUUAGUGGUAGAUGUCCUAUUGAUUCAAACCCUAUCAAUAAUCGAUUAUGUUUAGAAUGAAGUUCGAGGAAUGUAUAGGUUAGGUUUCUGAUUUUCGUUGUUGUAAUCUAUUGUGUUUCUUGAGUUUUAUUAGGUUUUUACUGUACAA